ACCGAAUAGAUACCCAGGUAGUCCACGCCCUAAACUAUGCGAACUGGAUGUUGGGUACAUUACGGUACUCAGUGUCGAAAGCUAAACGCGUUAAGUUCGCCGCCUGGGGUAGUACGGUCGCAAGACUGAAACUCAAAGGAAUUGACGGGGGUCCCGCACAAGCGGUGGAGUAUGUGGUUUAAUUCGAUGCAACGCGAAGAACCUUACCUGGCCUUGACAUCUGUCGAAUCCUGCAGAGAUGCGGGGUAGUGCCGCAAGGAACGACAAGACCAGGUGCUGCAUGGCUGUCGUCAGCUCGUGUCGUGAGAUGUU
rnacentral:rRNA from 1 species